AUUGAACGCUGGCGGCAUGCCUUACACAUGCAAGUCGAACGGUAACGCGGGGCAACCUGGCGACGAGUGGCGCACGGGUGAGUAAUGCAUCGGAACGUGCCCAGAAGUGGGGAUAGCCCGGCGAAAGCCGGAUUAAUACCGCAUGAGACCUGAGGGUGAAAGCGGGGGAUCGCAAGACCUCGCGCUUUUGGAGCGGCCGAUGUCAGAUUAGCUAGUUGGUGGGGUAAAGGCCUACCAAGGCGACGAUCUGUAGCUGGUCUGAGAGGACGACCAGCCACACUGGGACUGAGACACGGCCCAGACUCCUACGGGAGGCAGCAGUGGGGAAUUUUGGACAAUGGGCGCAAGCCUGAUCCAGCCAUGCCGCGUGCGGGAAGAAGGCCUUCGGGUUGUAAACCGCUUUUGUCAGGGAAGAAACGCUCUGGGCUAAUACCCUGGGGUAAUGACGGUACCUGAAGAAUAAGCACCGGCUAACUACGUG
rnacentral:rRNA from 1 species